AACAUAUUGCACCAGAAUGCAAUAUAGAAGAUAUGUAAAAUGGGCAAGAGUUGCAUGAACAGAUGCUACAAGAACCUCGAAGGCUAUGGAACUACAUAUGAGAGUGUAAGGAGGGCAACUACUUUUAAACAUCGACAUUGAUAAGAAAGCUACAAGCGGUUACCUGAUUCUUGUCCUCAAGGUGGAUGACCGUGGAAAAUAUACUGAAAUAGUGAUAACGUUGGAGGAAUCAGUAACACCUACUCCAAUUUCUAACCAUAUAUUCUCUUUCCGCCACCAGUUAUAAUCUGAAAUAGUAAUAGGUGUUAGAGAAUGAUAAUCAGGCAAGAACCAGAAGAAGAAUGAUUCUGCUGAG
rnacentral:lncRNA from 1 species